AGGAUAAGCGCUGGCGGCGUGCCUAACACAUGCAAGUCGAACGUCUCUUCUUUCGGGAAGAGGAGUGGCGGACGGGUGAGGAACACGUGGGAACCUGCCCUUUAGUGAGGAAUACCGGCGAGAAAUCGCCGACAAGACCGCAUAGCCCUCUUUGAUGAGAGUCAAAGAAGGAAAGCUUCGCAAGAGGCGCUAGAGGAGGGGCCUGCGUCCGAUUAGCUAGUUGGUGGGGUAAGAGCCUACCAAGGCGUCGAUCGGUAGCUGGUCUGAGAGGACGAUCAGCCACACUGGGAUUGAGAACGGCCCAGACUCCUACGGGGGGCAGCAGUGAGGAAUUUUCCGCAAUGGGCGCAAGCCUGACGGAGCAACGCCGCGUGCAGGAGACGGUUUCGGAUCGUAAACUGCUUUUCUCGGGGACGAGAACGGACGGUACCCGAGGAAUCAGCCCCGGCUAACUACGCGCCAGCAGCCGC
rnacentral:rRNA from 1 species